rnacentral:rRNA from 1 species
AGCGAACGCUGGCGGCAGGCUUAACACAUGCAAGUCGAGCGGGCACUUUCGGGUGUCAGCGGCGGACGGGUGAGUAACGCGUGGGAACGUGCCCUCUGGUUCGGAAUAACUCAGGGAAACUUGAGCUAAUACCGGAUACGCCCUUUUGGGGAAAGGCUUGCUGCCGGAGGAUCGGCCCGCGUCUGAUUAGCUAGUUGGUGAGGUAACGGCUCACCAAGGCGACGAUCAGUAGCUGGUCUGAGAGGAUGAUCAGCCACACUGGGACUGAGACACGGCCCAGACUCCUACAGGAGGCAGCAGUGGGGAAUAUUGGACAAUGGGCGCAAGCCUGAUCCAGCCAUGCCGCGUGAGUGAUGAAGGCCUUAGGGUUGUAAAGCUCUUUUAUCCGGGACGAUAAUGACGGUACCGGAGGAAUAAGCCCCGGCUAACUUCGUG